rnacentral:sRNA from 1 species
CACAAACCCUACUGCGUUAGGGAUAGCAGUGGCAUCCUUUGCAAGGAAACUUCCUUGUAAAGAUAUAACGGAUAGCCCGGCCCGAA